GACGAACGCUGGCGGCGUGCUUAACACAUGCAAGUCGAACGGAAAGGCCCUGCUUUUGUGGGGUGCUCGAGUGGCGAACGGGUGAGUAACACGUGAGUAACCUGCCCUUGACUUUGGGAUAACUUCAGGAAACUGGGGCUAAUACCGGAUAGGAGCUCCUGCUGCAUGGUGGGGGUUGGAAAGUUUCGGCGGUUGGGGAUGGACUCGCGGCUUAUCAGCUUGUUGGUGGGGUAGUGGCUUACCAAGGCUUUGACGGGUAGCCGGCCUGAGAGGGUGACCGGCCACAUUGGGACUGAGAUACGGCCCAGACUCCUACGGGAGGCAGCAGUGGGGAAUAUUGCACAAUGGGCGGAAGCCUGAUGCAGCAACGCCGCGUGCGGGAUGACGGCCUUCGGGUUGUAAACCGCUUUCGCCUGUGACGAAGCGUGAGUGACGGUAAUGGGUAAAGAAGCACCGGCUAACUACGUGCCAGCAGCCGCGGUGAUACGUAGGGUGCGAGCGUUGUCCGGAUUUAUUGGGCGUAAAGGGCUCGUAGGUGGUUGAUCGCGUCGGAAGUGUAAUCUUGGGGCUUAACCCUGAGCGUGCUUUCGAUACGGGUUGACUUGAGGAAGGUAGGGGAGAAUGGAAUUCCUGGUGGAGCGGUGGAAUGCGCAGAUAUCAGGAGGAACACCAGUGGCGAAGGCGGUUCUCUGGGCCUUUCCUGACGCUGAGGAGCGAAAGCGUGGGGAGCGAACAGGCUUAGAUACCCUGGUAGUCCACGCUGUAAACGGUGGGUACUAGGUGUGGGGUCCAUUCCACGGGUUCCGUGCCGUAGCUAACGCUUUAAGUACCCCGCCUGGGGAGUACGGCCGCAAGGCUAAAACUCAAAGGAAUUGACGGGGCCCCGCACAAGCGGCGGAGCAUGCGGAUUAAUUCGAUGCAACGCGUAGAACCUUACCUGGGUUUGACAUGGAUCGGGAGUGCUCAGAGAUGGGUGUGCCUCUUUUGGGGUCGGUUCACAGGUGGUGCAUGCCUGUCGUCAGCUCGUGUCGUGAGAUGUUGGGUUAAGUCCCGCAACGAGCGCAACCCUUGUUCACUGUUGCCAGCACGUUAUGGUGGGGACUCAGUGGAGACCGCCGGGGUCAACUCGGAGGAAGGUGGGGAUGACGUCAAGUCAUCAUGCCCCUUAUGUCCAGGGCUUCACGCAUGCUACAAUGGCUGGUACAGAGAGUGGCGAGCCUGUGAGGGUGAGCGAAUCUCGGAAAGCCGGUCUCAGUUCGGAUUGGGGUCUGCAACUCGACCUCAUGAAGUCGGAGUCGCUAGUAGUCGCAGAUCAGCAACGCUGCGGUGAAUAAGUUCCCGGG
rnacentral:rRNA from 1 species